rnacentral:rRNA from 1 species
CCGAAGUUAAGCGCAUCUCCAUAACAUGGUGAACGUUACCUAUACCGUUGCUUCGGCGGGGGGCCCCGGGGUUUACCCCCCGGGCGCCCCGGGGCCCCACCGCGGGCGCCCGCCGGAGGUCACCAAACUCUUGAUAAUUUAUGGCCUCUCUGAGUCUUCUGUACUGAAUAAGUCAAAACUUUCAACAACGGAUCUCUUGGUUCUGGCAUCGAUGAAGAACGCAGCGAAAUGCGAUAAGUAAUGUGAAUUGCAGAAUUCAGUGAAUCAUCGAAUCUUUGAACGCACAUUGCGCCCGCCAGCAUUCUGGCGGGCAUGCCUGUUCGAGCGUCAUUUCAACCAUCAAGCCCCCGGGCUUGUGUUGGGGACCUGCGGCUGCCGCAGGCCCUGAAAAGCAGUGGCGGGCUCGCUGUCGCACCGAGCGUAGUAGCAUACAUCUCGCUCUGGUCGCGCCGCGGGUUCCGGCCGUUAAACCACCUUUUUAACCCAAGGUUGACCUCGGAUCAGGUAGGAAGACCCGCUGAACUUAAGCAUAUCAAUAAGCCGGAGGAA